CAGCCGCCGCGGUAAUACAGAGGGUGCGAGCGUUAAUCGGAUUUACUGGGCGUAAAGCGUGCGUAGGCGGCUUUUUAAGUCGGAUAUGAAAUCCCUGAGCUUAACUUAGGAAUUGCAUUCGAUACUGGGAAGCUAGAGUAUGGGAGAGGAUGGUAGAAUUCCAGGUGUAGCGGUGAAAUGCGUAGAGAUCUGGAGGAAUACCGAUGGCGAAGGCAGCCAUCUGGCCUAAUACUGACGCUGAGGUACGAAAGCAUGGGGAGCAAACAGGAUUAGAGACCCAGUAGUCCCUGUCUCUUAUACC
rnacentral:rRNA from 1 species